GAGACCUCUAAUCGGAAAAGACCACCC
rnacentral:rRNA from 1 species